CCUGAACGCUGGCGGCGUGGCUAAGACAUGCAAGUCGUACGGAGCCGUAGCAAUACGGUUCAGUGGCGGACGGGUGAGUAAUGAAUCGCUAACGUACCCUCCUGUUUGGGAUAGCCAGCCGAAAGGCUGGGUAAUACCAGAUGAGACCACAGGUAGGCAUCUACCGGUGCUCAAAGGGAAACCGCAGGUGGAGCGGGCGAUUUCGUAUCAGGUAGUUGGUGAGGUAACGGCNCACCAAGCCGACGACGCGUAGCCGGGCUGAGAGGUCGGCCGGCCACAUUGGGACUGAGACACUGCCCAGACUCCGUACGGGGG
rnacentral:rRNA from 1 species